GCAGAGUCCGCCAAAAUACCAGUGAAGAUCGCAAGUAAAAAGAUGAAAGCAACCCAUUGGCCCAAAUCUUUUUGUCUGCAUCAGAUACUGCAGCACACUCAGUUGACCCAAACCUGUUAGUCGAGCCCUCUGGAUCUGAUAAAGGCUCUGCACUACAACAGGGUUGGCAAAAAAGAUGUCCCACCCAAUGUGCUGCAGCAGCCUAGAAAGGCAAAGACAAAGGUGACGAUAUUCAGCACUUUAACAGAGGGAGAGGCGGAAGACCUUGCCAAGGGGUUUGGAAUGGCACUGACCAAACAUGUGCCAAAAGACAAACUACUUUCUGGGAUACCUGAAGAGGACAUCCCAGCAACACUUUAAGUGUGUCUGUGAGGACCAUUGAACAAAUGAAGAUUAAUGUGCAAAACCUUGGCCCUGAAUCAGAGCUGGAUUUGGCCACUCACCGCUUUGGGCCUACAGCAGCUGAUUUUUUCUUUUCUUUUUUAGAGGACUGUAUGAAAAAAAGCACCCAUUAGGGGCACACAUAUACUAAUGUGGAAGCUAUCAGCUCAGAUUUGUAAACGAAAACAGGAAAGUUCAGAUUGCUUGAUCACAAUUUGAUUUUUAUUUCAUUUUUGACAAAUACAAAAUAAAAAAAUUUAAUUUUUGUGGUCAGUUGUUUUAUAGUAAAUAUUUGUUGGAUUACUGAAGGUAACAGCUGUAUUAGAUAACAAAUACAAAGUUUGAUAAAAAUGUCCAAAAUAUGCACUUGAAUAAAACAUUUCUUUUAAA